rnacentral:rRNA from 1 species
ACGCUCGACACCUACGGGNGGCAGCAGUGGGGAAUAUUGCACAAUGGGGGAAACCCUGAUGCAGCGACGCCGCGUGAAGGAAGAAGUAUCUCGGUAUGUAAACUUCUAUCAGCAGGGAAGAAAAUGACGGUACCUGACUAAGAAGCCCCGGCUAACUACGUGCCAGCAGCUACGGUAAUCUGAGCGGGCUGGCAAGGC